AUUGAACGCUGGCGGCAGGCCUAACACAUGCAAGUCGAGCGGAUGAGGGUAGCUUGCUAUCUGAUUCAGCGGCGGACGGGUGAGUAAUGCCUAGGAAUCUGCCUGGUAGUGGGGGACAACGUUUCGAAAGGAACGCUAAUACCGCAUACGUCCUACGGGAGAAAGUGGGGGAUCUUCGGACCUCACGCUAUCAGAUGAGCCUAGGUACGAUUAGCUAGUUGGUGAGGUAAAGGCUCACCAAGGCGACGAUCGUUAACUGGUCUGAGAGGAUGAUCAGUCAACCUGGAACUGGGACAGGGUCCAGACUCCUACGGGAGGCAGCAGUGGGGAAUAUUGGACAAUGGGCGAAAGCCUGAUCCAGCCAUGCCGCGUGUGUGAAGAAGGUCUUCGGAUUGUAAAGCACUUUAAGUUGGGAGGAAGGGCAGUAAGUUAAUACCUUGCUGUUUUGACGUUACCGACAGAAUAAGCACCGGCUAACUUCGUGCCAGCAGCCGCCGCCGUAA
rnacentral:rRNA from 1 species